GCCACAUAAAAGAAAAAAAAAUGCCACGUAAAAGCUUACCGAAUGAAUGGCAUCAAAGAAAAAGUACAGUUACCUAUUGUUCUUAUAGCCAAGAAAGCUAUACCCGGACUGCUGAGUCGACAUCACAGGAUUCUCUUGACAGUGAUUGUGAGCUUUGUCUUCCCUCCCUUGUAUUUCCAUGGCGAAAACUCUUGAGCCUAAAAUAUCCAGUCCCAACAGAUCCGACUGCGGCCUUUCCAGACUCGACAAAAUCAAACUUACAGACCUACACUGCUUGAUUUUGAAGCAGACCUUAAUAAAACUGUACAGGAUUUAGCAGAGUAGGGAACUUGGAACUGUGUUUGUACGACAGCAAGUCCAGAGUGCAACGACAGACGAUUACCUCACUUUGACAAAAACAUUGAGUUAAUGCCAGAACUGAACAAGAGAGCUGGUUUCCAUCUAUCUACUCCACUCAUUCUGUUUGAGGUAAAUAUUUGUACCUGUAACAAAAAGCGUGGCUCAAAAUAUGGGGUUUUACAAAACCAAGGGAACUUAUAAUUCCUUGGAUUUUAUAUAAUUCAAAUGUUGGUACUUAAAAAAAGUGUUGAGAAGUUGCCUGGCAACAUUGUUUCUUACUUAUCAUUUGGGAAAUAGUGCUUUUAAACUACUGCAUCUGUUUCAUUUCAAAUGGAUGAUCUCUGGCUAGAAAAUAAGUUUAUGUGAUAUGGAAAUAAAAAGAUACUCA